GGAGGGGUGGCCGAGCGGUUAAUGGCAGCAGUCUGUAAAACUGCCCUCUUAAGAGUUCGUAGGUUCGAAUCCUACUCCCUCCACCA
rnacentral:tRNA from 1 species